UACUGCCUGCGUGCAGGGGAGGAAAUGGAGGAUCAGAGAUGUUAAACGACUCGUCCAAGGUCACCAACUGGCCAAGGGGAAGAGCCCAACUUGAACCUAGGUCUCGCAUUUCCCAACCACAAGUUCCCUGUACCUUCACGGAACACUCAGGUGCCAAGUUAUCUUAACUUCUCAUGAAUUUUUUAAAGGCAACUCUCAAGUUCGUAAUAAGUUUAGGAAGCAGCAACCCGGGGCGAGGAUUUCCGGGGCGCUCUCUCUCCCCGCACAACGCAGCAGAGUCACCGCAAGUUGUCAGAGAAGCCACCCCGCUCGCCCGCGGAACGAGGAGGAUUGGUUUGGCACUGGAGUUCGUGCCAGGCCCAGGAAAUGCCAUCUUUGCAAUCUGGGGCGAAUUCGCCCUGAGUGGCUGAACCUCGCGGACUACGGGAAGCUGGAUCCCCGCAGCCGUGCGCCCCCUCUGCUGGGCUGCGGAUACCUCGGCGCCGAGCCCAGGGCUCGGCCAGACUGGAGCUCACGCCCACGCCCGCGCCGCCGCGUCCAGAAUGCCCAGCCUUUUGCCGCCCACGCCCCGCCCCAGCCCCGCCAGGUGAUCCCGGCCUGCACCCCCCGGAUGCCCGACGUGGCGCGGGGACCCAGGGCUGCCAGCACUCCCACUAGUCCUCCCGCGUGUCCGCCGAGCCCCGGACCGGGUGGGGGUGGGGUGAGCCCCGCGUGUCCGCCAUCGCGGCAGCCCGCGCUCCGACCCUCCCCGCGGAGGACCCAGUCUCUCAUACCUGCAGCAUCCGGGGGCGCCGGGCGCCCAGGAUUGUUCCUGAAGGAGUAACAUGGGUGUGAUGACCUCUGUUGGAAGAAUGAGAUGACCGUGGCUUGUGACAGAGAAGGGACCUAUGCCAUUUAUGGCACAGCUGGGACUUGAUACAAAGAACCUCGAGGGCUGAGACAGUCAACAGGAAUACAGAUGGAGCCACCUGCUCCUUGCUGGAGACUGUUUGCAACAAGUUUACAUCAGUUCUCUUCUACUCUGGGGACAGCCUUGGAGGCAUAAAGGUGAACAGCACCAGGCUUUACAGUCAGGGCUUCAAAGACUUGAAGGUAAGCAUCACGAUCAUACCAAGAAGAGGCGGGACAUACACUGAAACCGAGACACCCAUUUUUAACCCGCCGACUUCAUUCAGAGGCAGGAAGGGAAGGAAGACCCGGGACAGUCACAUGUUACUUGUACGUACAUAUGUACGUACGCCUCUACACCGUGGCUCAUUUUCCCUUCACCAUCUCUUAAAGACAA